UGGCUCAGUUGGUAGAGCAUCUGUGUUUGCAACGCCAGGGUUGUGGGUUCGAUUCCCAC
rnacentral:tRNA from 1 species